GAAACUCAUAGUCCAAACAAAGUUGAGCUCAUUAAACAUGCCCCAAAGUCCAGCCUUAUACACUAAGACACAUCCAAUUGAAUGAGAAAAGUCUCCAAUUCACUUGUCACUGCAGUUUCUUAAGAGACCACCGCAUCCCGUCAUCCUAGUUGCGCCAUUUCUUGAUCCAUCAGUGUUCAGUUUCAACCAUUUUGGUAGGGGUGGGUUCCAUUUAAUGUGCGCUUCUUCUCUUCUAGCGUUGGAAGCUUCAUAAUUUUCAGCAAGUGAUGAUAAAAACAUCUUGCCAAUUUCUGUCCUGUCUAAUCCCAAAUUGAUGGGUCAGGUUAUCUUCUACCCAUUGUUUGAAGUUGGUACCGACUUGAGGUGCAUUGGGCCACAGUAAGUUUGUCCAAAUUGAAGAGACUUUUGGACAAUUCCUUAAGACGUGAAUGAUAUCCUUAGCAUGUUGCUCGCAAAGUUGGCAAGUAUCCUCACUACCAAAAAUUCGAACUUUCCUUUGGUUGGUGAAAACUCUCUCAUGGAGAUCCUGCCACAUGAAAAAUUUAGCUUUUUGCGAUUCCUCCCAUCUCUAAAUCUAUGUCUAGAGAUUUAUCCUAGGUUCUAACUAUGUUGCUAAGGCCUUGUAAGUUGCUUCUACUGAAAAGUUUUCAUCUGUUGUGUGCUUCUACCCUAGUUUGUCUUCUCUCAGGUCUUUUAUAGGAGUUGGUUGGGUCAGGAUCUUUCGAACAAUUACCUCAGGUUCUUGUGGUUAUUCCAUAAUGUUGUUCUCCAUUAUUUCUCUCCAAAUGGCGCAGUGUUUCUACUCAUGAUCAACCUUGUCACAGUUUAAUAGGUAAUCCAGGCAGUCUAAUCCAAGCAGUGAUCUUGCCUAUGGUGGUGACAAGGGAGUUAAAGUUAGGUUCCUAUAGGCGGAUAGCAAGGUAGUAGUCAUAUAUCUUACAAGGACUGUCCAAGAAGAGUCUUUUUCUUCCGAUUCUGGAGGUUCCAUUGACCCUUCUCUACUGCUGUCCCUACCCUGUUUGCAUAGGAGAUGGUGGCGUUGCUUGUCUCUUCCUGCAUCCACUCUUCAACUCUGGGCACCAAAGAGGAUGUUUCAGAAAAGUCUUCUUCACCUUUUUUACUUUCUUCGUACUGCAUCUUGGAGGUUCCUGUUCUUGGUCAGUGGGAUGGUGGUCAGCCAGAGCAGUCUCCAACCUUCUUGUAAUGGUUCUAUGGCCUGGGUGGGUGGUUCUUCAGCAAUUGUAUAGAGAGAAAAGUCUGUAACAGCUAAUUUUUUGUAUUAAUUUAAUAUAGACCUAAACUCUUUUAACAUAAAUAAAUAAUAUUCUUGUUUUCU